CUCUGUAGGCCCUGGUCUAAUGUAGUGCUCUAUAGAGCCCUAUAGGCCCUGGUCUAAUGUAGUGCUCUAUAGAGCCCUAUAGGCCCUGGUCUAAUGUAGUGCUCUAUAGAGCCCUAUAGGCCCUGGUCUAAUGUAGUGCACUAUAGAGCCCUAUAGGCCCUGGUCUAAUGUAGUGCCCUAAAGGCCCUGGUCUAAUGUAGUGCUCUAUAGUGCCCUAUAGGCCCUGGUCUAUUUUAGUGCUCUAUAGAGCCCUAUAGGCCCUGGUCUAAUGUAGUGCUCUAUAGUGCCCUAUAGGCCCUGGUCUAAUGUAGUGCUCUGUAGGCCCUGGUCUAAUGUAGUGCUCUAUAGAGCCCUAUAGGCCCUGGUCUAAUGUAGUGCUCUAUAGAGCCCUAUAGGCCCUGGUCUAAUGUAGUGCACUAUAGAGCCCUAUAGGCCCUGGUCUAAUGUAGUGCCCUAAAGGCCCUGGUCUAAUGUAGUGCUCUAUAGGCCCUGGUCUAAUGUAGUGCUCUAUAGUGCCCUAUAGGCCCUGGUCUAAUGUAGUGCUCUAUGGAGCCCUAUAGGCCCUGGUCUAAUGUAGUGCCCUAUAGGCCCUGGUCUAAUGUAGUGCCCUAUAGGCCCUGGUCUAAUGUAGUGCCAUAUAGGCCCUGGUCUAAUGUAGUGCACUAUAGAGCCCUAAAGGCCCUGGUCUAAUGUAGUGCUCUAUAGAGCCCUAUAGCCCCUGGUCUAAUGUAGUGCCCUAAAGGCCCUGGUCUAAUGUAGUGCUCUAUAGGCCCUGGUCUAAUGUAGUGCUCUAUAGAGCCCUAUAGGCCCUGGUCUAAUGUAGUGCUCUAUAGGCCCUGGUCUAAUGUAGUGCUCUAUAGUGCCCUAUAGGCCCUGGUCUAAUGUAGUGCUCUAUAGAGCCCUAUAGGCCCUGGUCUAAUGUAGUGCUCUGUAGGCCCUGGUCUAAUGUAGUGCUCUAUAGAGCCCUAUAGGCCCUGGUCUAAUGUAGUGCUCUAUAGAGCCCUAUAGGCCCUGGUCUAAUGUACUGCCAUAUAGGCCCUGGUCUAAUGUAGUGCACUAUAGAGCCCUAAAGGCCCUGGUCUAAUGUAGUGCUCUAUAGAGCCCUAUAGGCCCUGGUCUAAUGUAGUGCCCUAAAGGCCCUGGUCUAAUGUAGUGCUCUAUAGGCCCUGGUCUAAUGUAGUGCCCUAAAGGCCCUGGUCUAAUGUAGUGCUCUAUAGGCCCUGGUCUAAUGUAGUGCUCUAUAGAGCCCUAUAGGCCCUGGUCUAAUGUAGUGCUCUAUAGGCCCUGGUCUAAUGUAGUGCUCUAUAGAGCCCUAUAGGCCCUGGUCUAAUGUAGUGCUCUAUGGAGCCCUAUAGGCCCUGGUCUAAUGUAGUGCUCUAUGGAGCCCUAUAGGCCCUGGUCUAAUGUAGUGCUCUGGUCUAAUGUAGUGCUCUAUAGAGCCCUAUAGGCCCUGGUCUAAUGUAGUGCACUAUAUGGGGAAUAGGGUGCCAUUUGAAACACCAUCUUUCUCUG
ensembl:lncRNA